CUCUAUGAUUGAGAAUUAGAAUUUUCUAAUCAUGAGUUCCACACAUUUUGGGUACCGGGGUCAAAAUUUUGAAUUUGAAAUUUGAACUCUUUGAUCAGGGUUUCAUAUCGAUGGUCUCUGAUGCCUGAUUGCCCAUCGGAUUUGGACUCAAUAUUUAUGAGAGGUUUAAUUAGUGAUUUAAUCACUAAUUAACUCAAUUUGAUUGAAUAAUUAUUUUUGGAUCAAGUUCAAAUUUAAUUGGAUUCAGUUUGGAUUGACCCGAUUAGGUUAAAUGUUGACCUAAUCGCUAAGGUGGUUUAGUCUCUGAUUUGAUCAGGGGUUAGGUUUAGUUAAUUCCUGAUUUGAUUAGAAUUUUAUUGAGCUUAAUUAAGCCUAAUUAUGUUGGGUUUAAUCUGGUCUAAUUGUGCUUAACCUAUUUUAAACUAGGUUGGCUCAAUUUGAAUCAAACCACCUUGUUUUAAAUUCCCUGCGACACCCAACUUCCUUACACCCAUUUGUAUUCACGAGAAGAAACUUCUCAUGAAAUUUUUCUCACGCAAAACCCUUCCUCAAGCCCUCAUUUGUGCACCAUAUGGAUGGAUAAAAUAAUUAGUUAGCCAUUCAAAUUCAAAGCAUGUUUGAAUUUGAAUGGAUAACUUAUCACUUGCCCUUUCAUCCUUAUCCAUUUUGAGCGCCACAUUACUUACACGAGAAAAGGUUUCUCGUGAAAUAUUUUCCACGCACAA
rnacentral:lncRNA from 1 species